rnacentral:rRNA from 1 species
AAUAUUGGACAAUGGGGGCAACCCUGAUCCAGCCAUGCCGCGUGUGUGAAGAAGGUCUUCGGAUUGUAAAGCACUUUAAGUGGGGAGGAAGGGUUUUAGGUUAAUACCCUGAAGUUUUGACGUUACCAACAGAAUAAGCACCGGCUAACUCUGUCCCAUCAGCCGCGUUAAUACAGAGGUUUCAAGCGUUAAUCGGAAUUACUGGGCGUAAAGCGCGCGUAGGUGGUUCAGUAAGAUGGGUGUGAAAUCCCCGGGCUUAAACUGGGAACUGCUUUCAUAACUGCUGAGCUAGAGUACGGUAGAGGGUAGUGGAAUUUCCUGUGUAGCGGUGAAAUGCGUAGAUAUAGGAAGGAACACCAGUGGCGAAGGCGACUACCUGGACUGAUACUGACACUGAGGUGCGAAAGCGUGGGGAGCAAACA